AGAGGCGUCCUGGAGAGGUAGA
rnacentral:miRNA from 1 species